GGCCGUUUGGCUAAGAUCAUGUAGUAUAUCGGGGGGUCGGUGGAAGGCUGGUUAAACCGUUUGGUUUUCGACCACUAGGACCCGAGUUCGAUUCCCGCAUUGGACA